CCGGAAUCUUUUCAAUCGAACGCCGAGAGUCUCGAACGGAAGGGCCCGCUUUAAAAGGGCCGGGAAGCAGCGCACGGAAAGGAGUCUCUGCUAGACUUGAAGAGGCGCGAGGAGAAUCUCAGGACAGUCGGACUGUGUCUUGGCAGGCUCGCGUUUGGCCAGUUGCCUCGUCUUCCGUCCCCCAACAGAGGUGGUGCUGGGGACACUGAGGCAGCGAGGAGCCCAGCCUCCUAGCGCAAUCCCAGUCCCCUGGCCAGCAUCGUUAGUGCUGCGGUACCACCUCCCACACGUACUGGACCUCCAAGAAUGCGCACCUGCACUCCCACCUCUGCGGAGAAAACCCUGGCCCAGCCUUCUGCCCUCGGCUGGGGGAGACCUUGGGUGGGAGAUAAGCCCCUCUGGGCCUCGGGUUUCCCCAUCUAUACAAUGGUUUGAGGGCCGACUUGGUCCUUGAACUCAGGGUCAUCUCAAAGUACUUUCCGGCCCCCAGAUGCGCCUCCUGGUCCUCAGCCGUGCCCCAAGGGAUGGAGACUACUUCUGGAUCCCUUCCCAAACCGUAGAGGCUCCUGGGCAUGGGAGAGGGGAGGUCGGAGAAGGAGCGAACAGGUGCUGCGGGGAGGCGGCCGCUGAUUGGCUGCAGGAAGGGGGCGGGCCUGCGCCGUUGGGGACCGCGGCCCCCAGGUUUGCGGAUAUCAGAGAAUAUAAUAUUGUACAUUAUUUUACCUAAUUCCUCUUCCAAAAACUCCUGGUGGUGCUUUGUUUAAGCGCUUGGCUGCUAACCGGAAGGUCUGCUGCUGGAACCCAUCAGCCGCUCCCGUGAGAAAAAUGUGGCAGUCGACUUCCACAAACGUUGGUGGUGCCAUCAAGUCGGUUCCAACUCAUAGCGACCCUAUUACAAAGAACGAAACACUGCCUGGUACCGCACUAUCCUCACAAGAGUCGCUAUGCUUGAGCCCACAGCUGCAGUCACUGUAUCAAUCCAUCUCGUUGAGGGUCUUCCUCUUUUUAGCUGACCCUCUACUUUACCAAGCAUGAUGUCGUUCUUCAGGGACUGGUCCCUACGACAAUAUGUCUCCAAAGUAGGGAGUCUCGUCAUCCUCACUUCUGUGGAGCAUUCUAGUUGUACUUCUUCCAAGACAUUUGUUUGUUUUUCUGGCAGUCCACGGUAUCUUCAAUAUUCUUCGCCAACACCAUGAUUCAAAGGCAGCAGUUUUUCUGUCUAUUUAUUGUCCAGCUUUAACAUGCAUAUGAGGCAAUUGAAAAUACCAUGGCUUGAGUCAAGUGCAUCUUAGUCCUCAAAGUGACAUCUUUGCUUUUUAACACUUUACAGAGGUCAUUUGUAGCAGAUUUGCCCGAUGCAAUAUGUCAUUUGAUUUCUUGACUGCUACUUCCAUGGGCACUGAUUGUGUAUCCAAGUAAAAUGAAAUCCUUGACAACUUCUGCAUUUUCUCCUUUUAUCAUGAUGUUGUUCAUCGAUUCAGUUCUGACGGUUUUUGUUUUCUUUAUGUUGAGGUGCAAUCCAUACUGAAGGCUGUGGUCUUUGAUCUUCAUCACCAAGAUCGAUCUGACAUCAGCAAUGAUAUCCCUCAUCCCACAUCUUCUGAAUCCAGCUUGAAUUUCUGGCAGUUUCCUGUCCACGUACUGCUGCAACCACUUUUGAAUGAUCUUCAGCAAAAUUUUACUUGCAUGUGAUUUCAUUUGAUCAUUUCCACAUUCUGUUGGAUCACCUUUCUUUGCAAUAGACGCAAAUAUGGAUCUCUUCCAGUCAGUUGGUCAGUCAUGGAUUGAAUUGUGUCCCCCAAAAAUGUGUGUACCAAUUUGGCUAGGCCAUGAUUCCCACUAUUGUGUGAUUGUCCACCAUUUUGUCAUCUGAUGUGAUUUUCCUUUAUGUUGUAAAUCCUAUCUCUAUGAUGUUAAUGAGGUGGGAUAGGUGGCAG